UAUGUGGUAGUGCUUUUACUACUUGUAAAGAACUUUGCAAUGUUCAUGGAAAGGGAUUGCCUCGAUUAUUUUCAUCGACUUAUAAAGUUUACGAGAUUUAGGGUUCAGCUCUCACUGUAGGCUUACCUACUUUUACCUGGUGAUCAUUAUGGGAGUUUUGGUCACCCAAGAAUUUUGUUAUUCAAUACUACCUGAUUGUCAACUUUUGUAUUAGAGAGGUUUCCUUUGCAAUAAAAAUAAUAAUCUUACAAAUGUACCUUUUUGAGUUAAGAUGUAAAUUUUGUCAAAGGUAAAGAAUCUAACAAUGUUCCCUUAGUUGAGUUCGAUGUAAAGGGGAGCACUAAGUCAUUAUGGGAGUUUUGGUCACCCAAGAAUUUUGUUAUUCAAUACUACCUGAUUGUCAACUUUUGUAUUAGAGAG
rnacentral:lncRNA from 1 species